rnacentral:rRNA from 1 species
UACAGAGGUCUCAAGCGUUGUUCGGAUUCAUUGGGCGUAAAGGGUGCGUAGGCGGCGCGGUAAGUCGGGUGUGAAAUCUCGGGGCUUAACUCCGAAACUGCAUUCGAUACUGCCGUGCUUGAGGACUGGAAAGGAGACUGGAAUUUACGGUGUAGCGGUGAAAUGCGUAGAUAUCGUAAGGAAGACCAGUGGCGAAGGCGGGUCUCUGGACAGUUCCUGACGCUGAGGCACGAAGGUCAGGGGGAGCAAACGGG